rnacentral:rRNA from 1 species
AGCUCCAAUAGCGUAUAUUAAAGUUGCUGCAGUUAAAAAGCUCGUAGUUGCAUUUCCGAGGCAAGGGAUUAGUCCGACCUUUGGUGGGUAUUUAAUCCUCUUGCCUCGUCCUUGAGUGGUGCUUCUUGGUAUUAAGUUAUCGAGGAGAUAGCCGCUCAUCGUUUACUGUGAGAAAAUUAGAGUGUUCAAAGCAGGCUUAUGCCGUUGAAUAUAUUAGCAUGGAAUAAUAAGAUAGGGCCUCGGUACUAUUUUGUUGGUUUGAGAACCAAGGUAAUGAUUAAUAGGGACAGUUGGGGGUAUUCGUAUUCAGUUGUCAGAGGUGAAAUUCUUAGAUUUACGGAAGACGAACUACUGCGAAAGCAUUUACCAAGGAUGUUUUCA